AUGUUGUUGGUCAUGUUGUAUGCAAUGUUGUUUGCCAUUUACUUUCAUUGUUGCACUGGCGUGGUGUUACUACCUUUCGAGAAGAUACGUUUACAAUGGAAGAGUGGUGUAUGGUAUACAGUUAGUCAUUGUUGCAGCUAUUUCUCAACUCAUAACCUUCAUAUCAGCAAUGGUUGUCCUUACAAAAUAUGAGGAACAAAAUGAAAGCUAUGCAAUCAUAAUUAUGUUAUUAAUGAUGCCAGUGUGUUCAUUCCUUGCUGAUGGAACAUAUCUUUUAUGUAAGGCGUGUUGUG